rnacentral:tRNA from 1 species
GGAGAUUUAGCUCAGCGGUAGAGCGCUUGCCUAGCGAGCACAAGGCCCUGGGUUUGGUCCCCAGCUCCA